CAAACUUGAACUUUUGCUUGUCCUCAAGCAAAAUUUACCAAUAAGCAAAUAACUCAACGAUAACAUCUCAUCACAUAGAUCAAUGACCAACUUCACGUUUUCAGAACUUGUAAUUAUAAUGACAAUUCUUAGGCAUUCGCAAGCUCAAAAUUCAACAACACUUAGUCACUCACCAUUACCAAAAACCACAAUUCAUACAAUUGCUUCAAG
rnacentral:lncRNA from 1 species